AUUGAACGCUGGCGGUAUGCUUUACACAUGCAAGUCGAACGGUAGAGGGGCAACCCUUGAGAGUGGCGAACGGGUGAGUAAUACAUCGGAACGUGCCCAGUCGUGGGGGAUAACGUAGCGAAAGCUACGCUAAUACCGCAUACGACCUGAGGGUGAAAGCGGGGGACCUGCAAGGGCCUCGCGCGAUUGGAGCGGCCGAUGGCAGAUUAGGUAGUUGGUGAGGUAAAGGCUCACCAAGCCGACGAUCUGUAGCUGGUCUGAGAGGACGACCAGCCACACUGGGACUGAGACACCGCCGAGACUCCUACGGGAGGCAGCAGUGGGGAAUUUUGGACAAUGGGCGCAAGCCUGAUCCAGCCAUACCGCGUGCAGGAAGAAGGCCUUCGGGUUGUAAACUGCUUUUGUCAGGGAAGAAAUCUUCUGGGCUAAUACCCUGGGAGGAUGACGGUACCUGAAGAAUAAGCACCGGCUAACUACGUGCCAGCCGCCGCCGUAAGAC
rnacentral:rRNA from 1 species